rnacentral:rRNA from 1 species
AUUGAACGCUGGCGGCAGGCCUAACACAUGCAAGUCGAACGAGUGGCGGACGGGUGAGUAAUGUCUGGGAAACUGCCUGAUGGAGGGGGAUAACUACUGGAAACGGUAGCUAAUACCGCAUACCAUCGGAUGUGCCCAGAUGGGAUUAGCUAGUAGGUGGGGUAAAGGCUCACCUAGGCGACGAUCCCUAGCUGGUCUGAGAGGAUGGCCAGCCCCACUGGGACCUAGGCACGGUCCCGACUCCUACGGGAGGCAGCCGUGGGGAAUAUUUCUCCAUGGGCGCCAGCCCGAUGCAGCCCUGCCGCGUGUAUGAAGAAGGCCUUUGGGUUUUAAAGUACUUUCAGCGGGGAGGCGUUACCCGCAGAAGAAGCACCGGCUAACUCCGUGCCAGCAGCCGCGGUAAUAC